CACGUAGUUAGCCGUCCCUUUCUGGUUAGAUACCGUCACUUAAGUAAUUUUCCACUCUACUCAACGUUCUUCUCUAACAACAGAGUUUUACGAUCCGAAAACCUUCUUCACUCACGCGGCGUUGCUCGGUCAGGGUUGCCCCCAUUGCCGAAGAUUCCCUACUGCUGCCUCCCGUAGGAGUCUGGGCCGUGUCUCAGUCCCAGUGUGGCCGAUCACCCUCUCAGGUCGGCUAUGUAUCAUCGCCUUGGUAGUCCUUUACACUACCAACUAGCUAAUACAACGCGGGAUCAUCAAGUAGUGAAGCAAUUGCUUCUUUCAAAUAAGAAUCAUGCGAUUCUCAUUGUUAUGCGGUAUUAGCGUUCGUUUCCAAACGUUGUCCCCCGCUACUCGGCAGAUUUCCCACGCGUUACUCACCCGUUCGCCGCUCUUCAUGAAAAUAGCAAGCUAUCUUCAAUCAUCGCUCGACUUGCAUGUAUUAGGCACGCCGCCAGCGUUGUCCUCG
rnacentral:rRNA from 1 species